AAAAGUAAAGUAAUUAAAAAAGUGAGAGAAAAUGUAAAUAAUUCUAAUAAGAUUUAGGAUUUAUGUUAUUUUUACUAAUUUUUAAUGGACCGAAAUAUGUUUGAAUUGAAAUAAGUUGGAACUAAUAAAUGAGCGGUCAAUACCUAACCAAACUUGACAGGUUGGAUAUGAUUUUGCCACCCCUAUUCACCCAUUUUUCGAUCCCUUAAAUAGAAGGCCAGUUCGAAAUUUUAUAAAUGUAACAGUUGUGGAGAUAGCAAGCCAAUUAAGUGGAAACAGGCUUCGUGGAUCAAUCCCUCCAUCACUUGUCCACCUACAAUUCCUUUCUUAUUUAGAUCUUUCUGGCAACUACUUGAGUGGCAACUUGCCACCAUUUCAGAUGGAGUCUUUAAAAUACAUAGCUUUACAGUUCCCCUCCAUAAAGUCGAUAUGACAGCUCGGUGAUUAAUUUUCCAUGCUCAAUUGCAUAACUUGGCUGGACGAUGCUGCAGGAAUUUACGCGGAAACAAACUUCAUGGACCAGUCCCUAAAUCAUUUCUCAACCUAACAUCGCUUCAGACCCUUGUGGCUCAUGUAGGGACCUAAGAAGUAAUUGCUUUGACAGAGAAAUCCCUCGUGAAUUUGGUGCUCUCCAAAGCUUAUCUCAUUUAUACAUAUCCCACAACUUACUAAAUGGAAGCAUUCCGGAAGAACUAGGGAACAUC